AAAUUAGAAAUAAUAAAUAUACUUAAUUUCGACCUAAGCCCAUGAUAUUAAAAUAUCCUAAUUUA
rnacentral:tRNA from 1 species